rnacentral:rRNA from 1 species
GACGAACGCUGGCGGCGUGCUUAACACAUGCAAGUCGAACGGAAAGGUUAUGCUGUUGUUGGCUGCUCGAGUGGCGAACGGGUGCGUAACGGGGGGGUAACCUUCCCUAGACUUCGGGAUAACGUCAGGAAACUGGGGCUAAUACUAGCUAGGAGCUCCUGCUGCAUGGUAUGGGAUGGAAAGUUUCGGCGGGUGGGUAUGGAAUCGCGGCUUGUCAGCUUGUUGGUGGGGUAGUGGCUUACCAAGGCUUUGACGGGUAGCCGGCCUGAGAGGGUGACCGGCCACAUUGGGACUGAGAUACGGCCCAGACUCCUACGGGGGGCAGCGGUGGGAAAUAUUGCACAAUGGGCGGAGGCCGGAUGCAACAACGCCGGGUGCGGGAUGACGGCUGUCAGGUUGUAAACCGCUUUCGCCUGGGAAGAAGAGUGAGUGACGGUAAUGGGUAAAGAAGCAACGGCUAACUACGUG